AGCAGCCGCGGUAAUUCCAGCUCCAAUAGCGUAUAUUAAAGUUGUUGCAGUUAAAAAGCUCGUAGUUGAAUUUCGGAGUUUGUCGGUUGGUCGGGCUUCACUGUCCGCACUGGCCUGAUGGAUUCCUACCUUCUGAAUAACUAGCAUGCUAUUAAUUUAGUGCGUUGGGGAAGCAGAGCUAUUACCUUGAAAAAUUAGAGUGCUUAAAGCAGGCUUACGCUUGAAUAGAUUAGCAUGGAAUAAUAAAAUAGGACGGCUUGGUUCUAUUUUGUUGGUUUCUAGGAUCACCGUAAUGAUUAAUAGGGAUAGUUGGGGGCAUUAGUAUUCAAUUGUCAGAGGUGAAAUUCUUGGAUUUAUUGAAGACUAACUUCUGCGAAAGCAUUUGCCAAGGAUGUUUUCAUUAAUCAAGAACGAAAGUUAGGGGAUCGAAGACGAUCAGAUACCGUCGUAGUCUUAACCAUAAACUAUGCCGACUAGGGAUCGGACGAUGUUAAUUUUUAAUGACUCGUUCGGCGCCUUA
rnacentral:rRNA from 1 species